rnacentral:ncRNA from 1 species
UUAAAGGCAAUGAUAGUGUAAGUAAAGUUGCAGUAUUCUUUAAGAGAGAAAGAUUCAUCGGCUGAGAGAUUUUUUAGGUUACGCUGCAAUUUGAAUUUCCCACUGGAGCUGCAUUUGUAAACGGAAUUUUCUUAGUAAUGAAUGACGUUUAUGCGCGUUAAGCAUAUAGAGAGCUUGAUUAUUUUAAUCAGGAACUAGGGUGGUACCGCGGAUAUUUCCGUCCCUUAA